rnacentral:tRNA from 5 species
GGGGCCGUAGAGUAUCCACAGCUUUGGUUAAAACAAAAAAAACGAUAUAAAACAAAUAAAUAUAAAACUUCGGACGCGGGUUCAACUCCCGCCAGCUCCACCA